rnacentral:ncRNA from 1 species
GAUAACAAGUUGAUGACUCUCGAGAAUUCUUAUAAAUAGAGUCGUUUGACACCUCGACUCAUCACAUCCUAUGGUUGAAGAAGGUCCAAAUGAUUCAAUUGUUCGUCGAUUCAAAUGGUACGUGAGUUGGGUUUAGAACGUCGUAAGACAGAGGUCCCAAGGAUUCAAUUGUUUGUCAAUUUAAAUGGUACGUGAGUUGGAUUUAGAAUGUAGUGAGACAGUUC